rnacentral:rRNA from 1 species
UACAGAGGUCCCAAGCGUUGUUCGGAUGCACUGGGCGGAAAGGGUGCGUAGGCGGUCGGGGAAGGCUGAUGUGAAAUCUCACAGCUUAACUGUGAAACUGCAUUGGAUACUAUCCGGCUCGAGGAAUGGAGGGGAGACUGGAAUACUUGGUGUAGCAGUGAAAUGCGUAGAUAUCAAGUGGACCACCAGUGGCGAAGGCGAGUCUCUGGACAUUUCCUGACGCUGAGGCACGAAAGCCAGGGGAGCAAACGGG